rnacentral:snoRNA from 1 species
CCGUGCCGGUGCUGACGCCGCCGCUGCCGUUACCGCCUCCAUCGCCGGCGGCGGCGCGCCUGAGCGCACGG